rnacentral:rRNA from 1 species
GACGAACGCUGGCGGCGUGCCUAACACAUGCAAGUCGAGCGAGGAGAGUUCCUUCGGGAACAAACCUAGCGGCGGACGGGUGAGUAACACGUGGGCAACCUGCCUUGUAGAGGGAAUAGCCUUCCGAAAGGAAGAUUAAUACCGCAUAACAUUACAGUUUCGCAUGAAACAGUAAUUAAAGGAGUAAUCCGCUACAAGAUGGGCCCGCGGCGCAUUAGCUAGUUGGUGAGGUAACGGCUCACCAAGGCAACGAUGCGUAGCCGACCUGAGAGGGUGAUCGGCCACAUUGGGACUGAGACACGGCCCAGACUCCUACGGGAGGCAGCAGUGGGGAAUAUUGCACAAUGGGGGAAACCCUGAUGCAGCAACGCCGCGUGAGUGAUGAAGGUUUUCGGAUCGUAAAGCUCUGUCUUCGGGGACGAUAAUGACGGUACCCGAGGAGGAAGCCACGGCUAACUACGUG